ACUUUGUGUUUCCAAAUUCUUUUGGCCUAUGCCUAAGUUCCCUCCUUUUAAGGGAUUUGAUCAUCCUUUCCCUUUACCUCCACCUUUGGAGCUUCCACCGUUUCCUAAACCAUGCCCACCACCUCCGGUUCCGGUGUACGAGCCACCCCCAAAGGUGGAACUUCCACCACCUGUCCCGGUUCACGAGCCACCCCCAAAGGUAGAGGUUCCACCACCCGUCCCGGUUCACGACCCACCGCCAAAGGUGGAGCACCCACCUCCGGUUCCGGUUUACAAGCCACCUCCAAAGGUAGAGCACCCACCUCCAGUUCCGGUUUACAAGCCGCCUCCAAAGGUAGAGCACCCACCUCCGGUUCCGGUUUACAAGCCACCUCCAAAGGUAGAGCACCCCCCUCCGGUUCCGGUUUACAAGCCACCUCCAAAGGUAGAGCACCCACCUCCGGUUCCAGUACACAAGCCACCAACAAUCCCUAAGAAGCCAUGCCCGCCUAAGUCGCCGAAGAUUGAGCUUCCACCGCCAGUGCCAGUUCACAAACCACCGACUAAGAAGCCUUGUCCGCCCAUGCCACCAAAGAAAGUUGAUCCGCCACCGGUUCCAGUCCACAAGCCGCCGCCGAAAAUAGUCCUUCCACCGCCGGUACCAAUCCACAAGCCGCCAAAGAAGCCGUGCCCGCCUAAACCGCCAAAGGUCGAGCUUCCACCACCAGUACCGGUCUACAAGCCACCACCGAAGAUAGAGCAUCCACCAAUCUAUGUGCCACCGGUGAUCCCGAAGAAGCCGUGCCCUCCCAAAGCGCCGAAGAUCGAUCCACCACCGGUUCCUGUCUACAAGCCGCCACCGAAGAUAGAGCAUCCACCAAUCUACGUGCCACCAGUGAUCCCAAAGAAGCCGUGUCCUCCGCCGGUGCCAAUCUACGUGCCACCGGUGGUGAUCCCGAAGAAGCCAUGUCCACCACUUCCACCACUUCCAAAGUUUCCUCCUCUUCCUCCUAAAUACAUUCACCACCCCAAGUUCGGCAAAUGGCCUCCGUUGCCGACUCACCCUUGAGAGUUUAAUACAUAUACUUGUAUGUAAUCAACGUGU
rnacentral:lncRNA from 1 species